UGCCAUGGCACUCAGGCGAAAUAGCUCUGUCAUUUCAGGUUCAGGGCUAUAGCCAGGUACACAGUGGUGUUUAAUUUAGCUGUCUUUUAGGGAUUAGCACAGUGUAUUUGCCUUCUAUAAUGAUUAACAUAAUAUUGAGGAGAGACUCCCUCACAAACUGAGGUGUCAACAAAGGUAAUAGAGACCGUGACACCAGAUGGAAAGAAACAGUACUUGCCACAUGAAGGGGAAAAAGGCAAAAAAAAGUUAACUGCUAUUGAUUGUUAUGGCACAGACAGACAUUAAACAUACACAGCAGACAAUUACAAUUAUAGAGCUGGCCUCUCACCUCAAUUAAAAGGAAACCUGGUGUGGGCAAUGUGAAAAGGAGAGGAGCUGUUCUCUCCUUUCAUCUUGUGAAGUGCUUCUUUCUCUGCUUCCAUGGACUGCUUAGUCUGGUCUCUUGUUUGCCUUUAGUUGAGAUGUUAAUUCUUCCUGCUUUCCUGUGGGAAAAUCCAUGCUUAAGAAGAAGAAAAUAGGAAGAGUCUGAAAACUGGGAAGAAAUUUCAGUGGGGAUGUGGAAAGGAACAAACGGUAUCUCAAUUGCUAUUACCUGUUGCAGGUCUACUGACUUCAGUAGACUCCUCCACAAAUCUAUUUCUUCUCAUCCUUCAGAGCCAAAGUGACUUCCCAUCAUUGGAAGAAUUAGAAAGGGCCUGGAUGUUGACAUCUGUGAUAGCUCCUUGAAUCACUGUUCAAUUCCUUUCCAAAUGAGCUUUGAAGAUGGACAGCAGAUCUCCAAAUGAAGGUUCUUGAAUAUCCUGAGGACUUUGCCAUUCAUUGCCUGAAAAGCCACUGUUCAGAAGGAGAUCACUAUGCCAGGCAACAGCAGUGUUCAUGUUUCAGGCGGGUACCUGACCAAGCUGUGGGGUAUGAAAAUGUGCUGCACCUUUCCAUUGACCACACUGG